GUGCCAGCAGCCGCGGUAAUACGUAGGGGGCGAGCGUUGUCCGGAUUCAUUGGGCGUAAAGAGCUCGUAGGCGGUUCAGUAAGUCGGGUGUGAAAGCUCCGAGCUCAACUCGGAGAGGCCACCCGAUACUGCUGUGACUUGAGUCCAGUAGAGGAGCGUGGAACUCCUGGUGUAGCGGUGAAAUGCGCAGAUAUCAGGAAGAACACCGGUAGCGAAGGCGGCGCUCUGGGCUGGAACUGACGCUGAGGAGCGAAAGCGUGGGUAGCAAACAGGAUUAGAAACCCUCGUAGUCC
rnacentral:rRNA from 1 species